GCGUGAAUGGUUUAGUGGUAAAAUUCUCCGUUGCCAAUCGAGCAAGUUCGGGGAGCCCUGGGUUCGAUUCCCAGUUCACGCA